UUCUCCCUCCAUCAAUGUGGUUUUCACUUGCUAAAUAGUCAAUGUUGCUUUUGUUGCUCCCCUUCUUUCUCUUUCUUCCCCCCCCCCCCUCACUCAAAGUACAAAACAUGACCAUCACCAAGAAAAAGUGCUAGAACAUGCAUGAUUCCAUAGAUAUUUUAUUACUUCAUAUAUAUAUAUAUAUAUAUAUAUAUAUAUAUAUAUAUAUAUAUAAAUGUGAAAUAUACUAGACUAUGCUUUAUUACAUCAACAUAGCUGUACUUGUAUUUAUUGUCAUGCAUUAUCACGUAGCAAAUUGGUUAGGAUAUUGGUGAGGCUCAAUGGAGCUCUCCCCACUCCAUGCCUGAAAGGAGUUCGAUGGUAGACCAUGGCUGCUAGUUCAUGAAUACCCUUGGGUGCGCAGAAUUAGCAACGGUGCAGGCGAAGUUGCGCAGGCUAAGGGUCUGCAUGACCUAGGAGACGUGGUUACCCUGACCCUUUUUGUAUUGGAGUGAAGGGAGCUCGAUGGUCUUUCACCCUUUCUUGCUUUCUUUCUUUUCAUUUUAUUGCUGUCAAUCAGUACUCUUUAAUUUCCCUUCUUGAAAAGAAAAGGUAAGUAUUUUUGUUCAUUUUUCACACAAUGAACAAAGCUGAAAACCAUGCAAAAUAAUAUGCGAUGCCUUCUCUCAACCUCGAAUAAUUAAAAAAGAUACUGGAGAAUCGAGUUCUUCCUGCUUAGUUACAGCGCCCUGUGCUUACAAUGUCAUUAAAAUGCAUCUCCUCUCCUUCGUAAAUAUUUGUGCCAAAAUCAUCUUAGUAUAUCCUUCCUAGCCGAGGAUCCAUGCCCAACAUGAAGUUAUUUGAUGAAAUAAGAGAGUACUUCCUUAGUUUUCUUGCAUUGAAUUAAUUAAUAGUAUAACUUGCAACCAGCCUGCAGUUGCUAAUUAUUUGAGAAUGCCUUGCCACCUCCUGGUGCCGAUUGUUUUAGCUGCCACCUGGCCACUGGAAGAAAGCACAACUUCGAAUGUUCCCCUUUCAAUUCCCAUAAAUAUUAAAUAAUGGCAUUAAAAAACGCAUGAUCUUAUGAUAAUUAAGUCGAUCGUUGUUUUUUUUUUGUUUUUUUCAGAAUUUGCGUAACAUCAAAUUAAACUAUUCCUCUUAUCAGUUAUCAUUAUAUGUUUUAACUUGAUCAGUUUUCAUGAUAUAGGAACAACGGUCACAGCCUGGGGCCUCCACGCACGUGAAGGAUCGAUCGGCGGUUGAUUGGAGUUUAGAAGUUGUGUCCAUAUUAAAGAAUCCGCAGGUUGAUUGCGCCUCGCAAGGCAACCAGCGGAGAGGCUGCCCUCGCUACUAGCCAAGGGAAGAAUAAUGGAAUAUCCUCUUCGAAGUUUUAUCAGCUUCAUUAGUAAUUCUACUCGCGCCAGAACAUUGUAACGAUUCCUCCGUCGGGGAACAUUGUAACGAUUCCUCCGUCGGGGCCGUCCCCUUUUUUAUUCUCAAUAAAUUAAUUUUGGUUACUGCUUAAUUAAUUAGUGCCUUUUGGCAUAAGUCUUGUUGGUGUCUAAAACUGGUAGAUCAAUAUGUGUAAGGAACAUAAAUUAAAAAGGUUGUAAUUUCACACACCUAUAACCUGUUUGCCCC
rnacentral:lncRNA from 1 species